rnacentral:rRNA from 1 species
AACCAGCACCUCAAGUGGUCAGGAUGAUUAUUGGGCCUAAAGCAUCCGUAGCCGGUUCUGUAAGUUUUCGGUUAAAUCUAUGCGCUCAACGUAUAGGCUGCCGAAAAUACUGCAGAACUAGGGAGUGGGAGAGGUAGACGGUACUCGGUAGGAAGGGGUAAAAUCCUUUGAUCUAUUGAUGACCACCUGUGGCGAAGGCGGUCUACCAGAACACGUUCGACGGUGAGGGAUGAAAGCUGGGGGAGCAAACCGG